CCUACGGGUGGCAGCAGUCGAGAAUCAUUCACAAUGGGGGAAACCCUGAUGGUGCGACGCCGCGUGGGGGAAUGAAGGUCUUCGGAUUGUAAACCCCUGUCAUGUGGGAGCAAAUUAAAAAGAUAGUACCACAAGAGGAAGAGACGGCUAACUCUGUGCCAGCAGCCGCGGUAAUACAGAGGUCUCAAGCGUUGUUCGGAAUCACUGGGCGUAAAGCGUGCGUAGGCUGUUUCGUAAGUCGUGUGUGAAAGGCGCGGGCUCAACCCGCGGAGGGCAGCUGAUACUGCGAGACUAGAGUAAUGGAAGGGGAACCGGAAUUCGCGGUGUAGCGGUGAAAUGCGUAGAUAUCGAGAGGAACACUGAUGGCGAAGGCAGGUUCCUGGACAUUAACUGACGCUGAGGCACGAAGGCCAGGGUAGCGAAAAGGAUUAGAUACCCUUGUAGUC
rnacentral:rRNA from 1 species